GAAUUGUUCGCAAUGGGCGCAAGCCUGACGACGCAACGCCGCGUGGAGGAUGAAGAUUUUCGGAUCGUAAACUCCUGUCGAGUGGGAAGAAUAGCUUUCGGGUAAAUAUCCCGAGAGUUUGACGGUACCACUAAAGGAAGCCCCGGCUAACUCCGUGCCAGCAGCCGCGGUAAUACGGGGGGGGCAAGCGUUGUUCGGAAUUACUGGACGUAAAGGGCUCGUAGGCGGCCCACUAAGUCAGAUGUGAAAUCCCCAGGCUCAACCUGGGAACUGCAUCUGAUACUGGUGGGCUUGAAUUCGGGAGAGGGAUGCAGAAUUCCAGGUGUAGCGGUGAAAUGCGUAGAUAUCUGGAGGAAUACCGGUGGCGAAGGCGGCAUCCUGGACCGACAUUGACGCUGAGGAGCGAAAGCUAGGGGAGCAAAC
rnacentral:rRNA from 1 species